AAAUUUGCUUGACUUAUUUACUUUGGCUUUAAGCUUUAUCAUGCAAAUGGAUUAUUCUAUAAUAAAUGAAUUUGUACAGUUCAUAACUUAUUUGCUUUUUCGGUUGGGAGGUGAACAAAAGAAAAGGUGGUCCUAGACUCUUGCACAGUACUGUACUUAUGAGAGUGAGGAAUUGCGCGGCACAUGUGGGCCUUCAUUUAACAUCAUAACCCUAUUCCAGAGUUGUUACAUCACUCAUGCCUGAUCUAACUGUCUUGUACGGGUAAUAUGUUUCUCUUUCACUUCAGUCUCGCUGGCCUCUGGCCACUGGAUGAACUGUGGGACGAAUGAGGAAAAGGUGGUUCGUCUUGGAGAUAAAGUAACUCUGCAUUGUGACUGUAGAAAGGACCCAGGCUGGGAAAUCCACUGGGUGAGAAGCUGUUCUCCGUUAGUCCACCCAAUGUCCAUCUCUUCAUACGAGUCCCUUAUAAACCCAAUCCCCCAGUUCUCUAUGAAGUGGAAUGCUGCAUAUGAAUCCAUGGAUCUCAUCAUCGAGAACAUCACAGAGUCCGAUCUGGGGCUUUACUACUGUGCUAAGGUUGAUUCUAAAAUGAACGACGACAAGGAUGGGAAGCUAGCGAUGAAUGAAGUGUACCACAUUUGUAAUACAUCCACAAAGCUUUCAUACGAAGUGAUUAUGGAGUCUGACAGUGAUCAGAGAGGACCAAUCCACAGGCAGCAAACCAGUGAGGAACAGGACAAAGACACACAAGUGUACUACGCUUCACUGAACAUUCCCAAAGAUGCAAGCAGACGGAUCAAGAGGAACCCCCCAAUGAACCCUGACUUCAGUUUGUACAGUGAGCUCAAUAAGGCCAAAAAGGAACAAGAUUAGGGCUUUAGAUGUGAUUAAUACGUCCAUCAAGAUUUCACUUAGUUUUUUCUUAAAUUUGUUCUUGAGAAAGGUCCUAAGAAAAAGUCUACGUCAGAUUCAUGAUGUGUUCUUCAACCGCAGAACACACAUGGUUCACACUUUUGUGCUCUUGAGUGUGUGUAGAUUCUGUUCUUACCAAAAAACAAAGAAAACAAGGUGGGCUUUAAGAAGAAAUUUCUUCUUACGAAUGGUUGGUGAAUGAGACCCAUUGUUAGCCAGGAGAAUUAAUGUUAAAUCCACAUGUAAUCUUUUCUGCAACAUUAACAAUGGAAGGAAUUUUUGCUUUUUUUUUUGGUCUUGCUGAAUUGAAGUGGAACAUAGAGAGGCUAUUUCUUUAAAUGCUUUAUACAUAUAAAAUGUGGCUUUUUUCCAGGCACAUUUAUUACUAAAGGCAGAUUUUGCUCACUGGCUGAUUUAUAGUUUAAAGCCAAGGCACCCUAUUUAGACUUUAUAACACUUCACCAAUUCUCUUAAAUUCUAUGUUCAAUUUUUCAGUUUUUUUAUUUGAUCUUUUUAUUCUUUCUUACAUUGCUUUGUUAAUGCCUUGUGCUUUGUGUGCUGCUUCAUGUAAAAUGCUAAUUAAAAGUUUACAAAAUGUAUGAAGCUGAUUAAGCAAUGCUUUUCCAAUUUUAUACGUCCUGAAGAAGCGUUGAAUUAGGAUUCAAAGCAUAAUGUCUGUAGCAUCAUGGAGCUAUGGUCUGUUUGUAGACCUUCAAUGCAAACUGAUGGAGC
ensembl:lncRNA